CUUUCUAAAGAACUCAGCAAAAUAUCCCCAUAACUUCGUGAGAAGGGGUGCCUCUUCACAUCAUAAAGGGGGUCGCAGUGACCAAGCUCGGGCGACUGUUUACCAAAAAUAUAAGUCUCCACAAAGUUGUAAGGCCAUGUAUGGGGGCUGAUGCAUGCCCAGUCCCGGAAGGUCAAGGAAAUUGGUGACCUGAUGAUAGGGGAGCCGGCGACCUAAGCUCCAGUGAAUGGCAGCGGUAACUAUAAUGGUCCCAAUGUAUCAAAAUUCCUUUUCGGGCAAGUUCUAACCUGCAUAAAAGGCGUAAUGAUCUGGGCAUUGUCUCAGAGAG
rnacentral:ncRNA from 1 species